GAUGAACGCUGGCGGCGUGCCUAAUACAUGCAAGUCGAGCGAACGGACGAGAAGCUUGCUUCUCUGAUGUUAGCGGCGGACGGGUGAGUAACACGUGGAUAACCUACCUAUAAGACUGGGAUAACUUCGGGAAACCGGAGCUAAUACCGGAUAAUAUUUUGAACCGCAUGGUUCAAAAGUGAAAGACGGUCUUGCUGUCACUUAUAGAUGGAUCCGCGCUGCAUUAGCUAGUUGGUAAGGUAACGGCUUACCAAGGCAACGAUGCAUAGCCGACCUGAGAGGGUGAUCGGCCACACUGGAACUGAUACACGGUCCAGACUCCUACGGGAGGCAGCAGUAAGGAAUCUUCCGCUAUGGGCGAAAGCCUGAAGGAGCAACGCCGCGUGAGUGAUGAAGGUCUUCGGAUCGUAAAACUCUGUUAUUACGGAAGAACAUAUGUGUAAGUAACUGUGCACAUCUUGACGGUACCUAAUCUAAAAGCCACGGAUAACUACGUGGCAGCAGCCGCGGUAAUACGUAGGUGGCAAGCGUUAUCCGGAAUUAUUGGGCGGAAAGCGCGCGUAGCGGGUUUUUUAUUCUGAUGUGAAAGCCCACGGCUCAACCGUGGAGGGUCAUUGGAAACUGGAAAACUUGAGUGCAGAAGAGGAAAGUGGAAUUCCCUGUGUAGCGGUGAAAUGCGCAGAGAUAUGGAGGAACACCAGUGGCGAAGGCGACUUUCUGGUCUGUAACUGACGCUGAUGUGCGAAAGCGUGGAGAUCAAACAGGAUUAGAUACCCUGGUAGUCCACGCCGUAAACGAUGAGUGCUAAGUGUUAGGGGGUUUCCGCCCCUUAGUGCUGCAGCUAACGCAUUAAGCACUCCGCCUGGGGAGUACGACCGCAAGGUUGAAACUCAAAGGAAUUGACGGGGACCCGCACAAGCGGUGGAGCAUGUGGUUUAAUUCGAAGCAACGCGAAGAACCUUACCAAAUCUUGACAUCCUUUGACAACUCUAGAGAUAGAGCUUUCCCCUUCGGGGGACAAAGUGACAGGUGGUGCAUGGUUGUCGUCAGCUCGUGUCGUGAGAUGUUGGGUUAAGUCCCGCAACGAGCGCAACCCUUAAGCUUAGUUGCCAUCAUUAAGUUGGGCACUCUAAGUUGACUGCCGGUGACAAACCGGAGGAAGGUGGGGAUGACGUCAAAUCAUCAUGCCCCUUAUGAUUUGGGCUACACACGUGCUACAAUGGACAAUACAAAGGGCAGCGAAACCGCGAGGUCAAGCAAAUCCCAUAAAGUUGUUCUCAGUUCGGAUUGUAGUCUGCAACUCGACUACAUGAAGCUGGAAUCGCUAGUAAUCGUAGAUCAGCAUGCUACGGUGAAUACGUUCCCGGGUCU
rnacentral:rRNA from 1 species